rnacentral:rRNA from 2 species
UUGCACCUGAUUGAUUUUGGUCGCCAACGAGUGGCGGACGGGUGAGUAACACGUAGGUAACCUGCCCAGAAGCGGGGGACAACAUUUGGAAACAGAUGCUAAUACCGCAUAACAGCGUUGUUCGCAUGAACAACGCUUAAAAGAUGGCUUCUCGCUAUCACUUCUGGAUGGACCUGCGGUGCAUUAGCUUGUUGGUGGGGUAACGGCCUACCAAGGCGAUGAUGCAUAGCCGAGUUGAGAGACUGAUCGGCCACAAUGGGACUGAGACACGGCCCAUACUCCUACGGGAGGCAGCAGUAGGGAAUCUUCCACAAUGGGCGCAAGCCUGAUGGAGCAACACCGCGUGAGUGAAGAAGGGUUUCGGCUCGUAAAGCUCUGUUGUUAAAGAAGAACACGUAUGAGAGUAACUGUUCAUACGUUGACGGUAUUUAACCAGAAAGUCACGGCUAACUACGUGCCAGCAGCCGCGGUAAUACGUAGGUGGCAAGCGUUAUCCGGAUUUAUUGGGCGUAAAGAGAGUGCAGGCGGUUUUCUAAGUCUGAUGUGAAAGCCUUCGGCUUAACCGGAGAAGUGCAUCGGAAACUGGAUAACUUGAGUGCAGAAGAGGGUAGUGGAACUCCAUGUGUAGCGGUGGAAUGCGUAGAUAUAUGGAAGAACACCAGUGGCGAAGGCGGCUACCUGGUCUGCAACUGACGCUGAGACUCGAAAGCAUGGGUAGCGAACAGGAUUAGAUACCCUGGUAGUCCAUGCCGUAAACGAUGAGUGCUAGGUGUUGGAGGGUUUCCGCCCUUCAGUGCCGGAGCUAACGCAUUAAGCACUCCGCCUGGGGAGUACGACCGCAAGGUUGAAACUCAAAGGAAUUGACGGGGGCCCGCACAAGCGGUGGAGCAUGUGGUUUAAUUCGAAGCUACGCGAAGAACCUUACCAGGUCUUGACAUCUUGCGCCAACCCUAGAGAUAGGGCGUUUCCUUCGGGAACGCAAUGACAGGUGGUGCAUGGUCGUCGUCAGCUCGUGUCGUGAGAUGUUGGGUUAAGUCCCGCAACGAGCGCAACCCUUGUUACUAGUUGCCAGCAUUAAGUUGGGCACUCUAGUGAGACUGCCGGUGACAAACCGGAGGAAGGUGGGGACGACGUCAGAUCAUCAUGCCCCUUAUGACCUGGGCUACACACGUGCUACAAUGGACGGUACAACGAGUCGCGAACUCGCGAGGGCAAGCAAAUCUCUUAAAACCGUUCUCAGUUCGGACUGCAGGCUGCAACUCGCCUGCACGAAGUCGGAAUCGCUAGUAAUCGCGGAUCAGCAUGCCGCGGUGAAUACGUUCCCGGGCCUUGUACACACCGCCCGUCACACCAUGAGAGUUUGUAA